rnacentral:misc_RNA from 1 species
CAAUGAUUCCCGAGACAGUGAAAACACCUCCAAUUAUGGCGCAGAUAUUUGUCAGGAAGUGAAGGAACGAUCGAUUUUCUUCGGUGAAAAUGACCUUGAUUGGGGAGAAGUCAUAAAAGAAGUAUACCCCAGGAGGGGUUUGAGGAUGAACAUUGGCAUCUCUGAAGUGCUCUGUCACCGAAAACUGAUUUGUUUGAAUCUGAUGUCCUCUUAUAUCAGUGUAGACUGUAGGAACAACUUUGAUGAAAUACUGGUACAUGCCAGACGAAGAUUGUUGAGUCCACUGCACACGAUCAAGAGGAUUUAUAACACCAGGGAACUCUUUGCCAAAGGAUAGUUUGUUUAUCUUAUGGCUUAUAUUGUAACUUUCUGUUUGGAAAGCAAACAAGUCUUGAAGAAAAUUUUUGGCGUGGUGAAAGCCUUUUCCAGGGGCAAAGUGAAAAUUCCCAGCAACUUUACCAACUUCAACGAAACCUUUGAGAAUGCAUCCCUCGCCUUCUUCCUCUUUGACUUUUUCAAUGAAGCCCUCUCUCUUGCACUGGUCAAUAAGAUCUGGGUUUGUUAGGCCCCAUCCUUUCUUUUGAUAUGCUUGACGAACUUCUUCACAGGAGUUACAGCAAUCAUCAUCUGACGCUUCUGCACCAAAACAAGAACCACAAUACGUCUCAUUGUG